GUAAUCUAAUAGGAAAUCUAAGUAAUCUAAGGAUAAUAUCAAAUAAUCUGUAGGUAAUUCUAGGUAUUUUUGAGGUAGUCUCAAAUAAUCUGAGGUAAUCUAUGGUAAUCUUUUUGAAGUUAGUGAACGUCAUUGACGAAUUUGUAUCUUUUUACAAUAAUAUACAUUUGCAGUCGUUUUUGGAUGCUUCGUAAAAACGUGCUUUUUUACAGUCUACGAAUUGUCGUGGUUAGGUUUUCGCGAUAUCACGUCUUAUAAUGCUUUAUUUCUCAGGCCAUGAAUACAUGAGCGUUUAAAAAUUGCGAAAUGCAUUCUUAUCCACAACUUUUGUCACAUUUUCACUAAGCCAAACUACUUUAGGCAAAUUUCUUUGCGUUAAGAAGUCGCUUAGUUCCUUAAAACGAAAUUCACCUUCCCGAAGUAAACAAUAGUUUGAAUUUAUUACUCUGCUGAUAGUGGAUACAGAUGGAAUAAUGCCAUUCAAAUUGGCAUGUAAAGUCGUUUCGUAAGUCAAGCGUCUACUUAUUAUUCAAAACAAAAUUCAAAAAAGCUACAAAUAACUAAAAAUACAAAUAUAUAAAAAUUGCGAAAUGCAUCCUUACCAAUGAAAAGAUAUGUGCAAAAACUCUUAAUAGAUUCUUCAUUUGAGGUAAUAUUAAGUAAUCUUAAAUAAUCUGAGGUAAUCCGAGGUAAUUUAAAGGUAAUCCGAAUCAAGGGUAAUUUUUGUACACUAUACCAUUAGUGACCAACUCCUCGUAAAAGUAUUAAG